AUGCCACAGGCAGGCCUUGAGGUGAAUCUCUCAUCGAAUGCAGCUAAUAUUUUGGCAUGAUAUCAAGUAAUUAGUUAUUAUUGUGAUAUAAACUACUUAAUUAAUGCUGUUUUUUUCUUUUGUUAUAUUAGGGUUACUUUUUUGUUUUUAGUAAUUUUUUUUUCAAUUUUUGUAAAAUGCUACUUUUGAUCCUGGAUUUGUCUAUGCACCUAACUAUAUGUAUACAAUGGGUUUUAAUGUUUUUAUAAAAGUGUAUAAAUUUAUGCGGACUCGGGAAAACAUGUUGUAUUAACACCAGUUAGUUGAUCAAUGUAAUUAAGUCAUUUGAAAAAAUAAAAUAAUCUUAUAUCUACUUUCGUCAAACGCCUUCUUCUUUAUCUUUUACUUUUAAUUUGUAAUUCAUUAUCUUGUAAUUGACUUCAUGGGCCUUGUCUUCAUUUAAG
rnacentral:lncRNA from 1 species